rnacentral:sRNA from 1 species
GCUGGGCAUGGUAGCACAUGCCUGUAACCACAGCUCCUGGAGGCUGGGACAGGAGGAUUGCAAGUUCCGGGCCAGCCCAGGCAACUUAGCGAGACCCUGUCUA